GACGAACCGUGCGAACGUUGUUCGGAAUCACUGGGCUUAAAGGGUGCGUAGGCGGGCCGCAAAGUCAGGGGUGAAAGCCUCCAGCUUAACUGGAGAAGUGCCUUUGAUACUGGCGGCCUUGAGGAAGGUAGGGGCAUGCGGAACUGAUGGUGGAGCGGUGAAAUGUGUUGAUAUCAUCAGGAACUCCGGUGGCGAAAGCGGCGUGCUGGACCUUUUCUGACGCUGAGGCACGAAAGCCAGGGGAGCAAACGGG
rnacentral:rRNA from 1 species